rnacentral:misc_RNA from 1 species
GAUGAAGAACGUAGCGAAAUGCGAUACGUAGUGUGAAUUGCAGAAUUCCGUGAACCAUCAAAUCUUUGAACGCAUAUUGCGCUCGAGGCUUCGGCCGAGAGCAUGUCUGCCUCAGCGUCGGUAUUACCCCUCGCUUCUCAACCCCUGGUUGAUGCCUGCCUGCCUUUGCAGUUGGCUAGAAGCGGAUCUGGCUUUCCCAAUUGCCUUUGGUAGUUGGGUCAGCUGAAGCACAGAGGCUUGAGCAAGGACCCUUAUUGGGCUUCAACUGGAUAGGUAGAACUGGUCUUAGGACCAACUACACGAAGUUGUUGCUUGUGGUCUUUGUCUGGAGGCCAGCAGGAAACCUUUAUACCUUCGACCUGAGCUCAGGCAAGAUUACCCGCUGAACUUAAGCAUAUCAAUAAGCGGUGGA